AGAGGAUAGGGAGGUGGGAAUCCAGGAGGUUUGUAUCUUAUUUGCGUCCUGCUGGUCUCCUGGGCUAAAUGUUUUUUGUUUUAAUCAUCAGGUUCGGUCCCCCCCAGGGUCUGGUUGAUCGGACAUUCCUACAUCCACUGGGCAUGGCAGCGAAUGGCGAUCCGGCCUGGGGGGAGCUUCUCGGUUUCACGCCUUCAACUGCGGAGGUACGGUGGUUUGGCGCCAGAGGCAUGAGGUGGGUCCGGCUCCUCCCUGACUUGGUCACGCUCUCUCAUUUGCUAGGGGCACCGUCUGUGUU